rnacentral:rRNA from 1 species
UACGUAGGGACCAAGCGUUGUUCGGAUUUACUGGGCGUAAAGGGCGCGUAGGCGGCAUGACAAGUCACUUGUGAAAUCUCCGGGCUUAACUCGGGAACUGCGCUUGAUACUGUCGAGCUAGAGUGUGGAAGGGGCGAUUGGAAUUCCGUGUGUAGCGGUGAAAUGCGUAGAUAUACGGAGGAACACCAGAGGCGAAGGCGGAUCGCUGGGCCAACACUGACGCUGAUGUGCGAAAGCUAGGGGAGCAAACGGG